rnacentral:lncRNA from 1 species
CAAGAGGCACGCCUUUCUCCGAGCUUCCCUUCAGCUUCGGUUGGUGAUCGACGACCUUCCUUCUUUAUUGAUCUUGAUCGGCGCUCAAUGCCCUUUAUUCGGUGCUAGCUUUCAAGUGGUCUAAGCCCUCUCUUAAUCCAUUCCGUCUGUCGGUGAUCGAGGGUAAGGCCCAUUCCUGUUAUCGUGUAAGUAAGGAGAAUGCUUUCCAUUAGCAGUCCAAGCUGUCAUUUCAAUCGUCUAAUUUUCAUACAAGCCAUCGAGAAGGCCAGCCCGCGCUAUCAGUCCAGUCCCUAUGCCCGUCUUCCUUAAAGUAAGAAAUUAUUAUUUUGAUCUAUGAUUCUAAGUGGUCUUUGGAUUGUAUUCUGGUCAGAGAAGGUGCAUUGCCCUCCCCCUUUGGCCUGAUUUCCUUCUCUCUCUCUAAGUCCAUGGGCUAAGGAGCAUUCAAAAAAUAUUUGUAUUAGUGUGGUUCGCUUUCCCUUGUGACUAUGGUAGGAUGGUUAUAGGUAUCACUAUAUUUGUAAAUAGUGAAAAAAUAUGAAAAAAAAGGAUUUAAGUCAAUUGGUGCAAGCUAGGUAAGCGCUCACGUACUACUAAUAGAGGUAAGACAGGCGUUUACGGGCUAGCUGGGGAAGGUUUAAUGUUUUCUAAUUGGUAACCUUGUGCCAAAGCAUCUAAGGUGGGUAGGGGCCUUGGGGAUAAGUCGUCUACGUCUUUUUUUAUUCCCGUGCUUUAAGUUCUAAGUUCUUGGAUUGGAUCCCCCCGUAAGUACGCAACGAUUUUUGUUUUCUUUUUGAAGGAAUCCAGGGAUCGAGCCAAAACAAAGCAAGACGCGAUUUCCCUUCUCUAUUUUUUAUGGAUCGCGCCUUACGAGAGCGCCGCCGGUCGGGAAUGGCAGAAGGUGCGAGAUCAGAUAGAACCUCGUCGACCCUAAAACUAGAUCCAAAAUUAAAGCUUCCUUACCGAACCAAUUCCUUUAGGCGAUUUACAAGAAGCAAGGGCUUAUAAAAAGAAGCGAGUCCGGAAUAGAGAGGCCUUCGCGUCUUUCAAAUCAAAAGGAGGGGCCCGCGCAAGACUGAUAAACUACUUCUAGCUUCUCAAUUGAGGAAGUGAGUGGUCGAGAGUGCAGAUGUACAAUAAAAAUGGUCGUCCUAGUACAGGGGCCGCUAAUACCGGUGGCUGAGUCAGGUAUUCUUUUAUGCUUUCGAAUGCAUCUUGGCAUGCUUGGUCUCAGACAAACUCCACCUCUUUUUUCAUUAGACGAGAAAAGGGUUGGCACUUGCCUUAUAUAUUGGCGAUAAACUUGAUUAUAUAGGCCAGCCACCCUUGGAUGGAAGCCUCUCAAUUCCUUGAUAUUAGUAGGAGACGGCAUCCCCAGUAUGUCUUUUGUUUUGGCGGAAUACACCUUAAUCCCCUUCUUUCGUACUAUGAAUCCAAGGAAUUUCCCUAACAAUACUCUGAAGAAGCACUUUAUAGGGUUCAUCUUCAGGUUGUGUUGCCUAAGCCUAAGGAAGACUUUUCAUAAAUCUGCCAAGUGGGCGACUCUUUUACGGCUUUUUACGGCUAGGUCAUCCACGUAGCAUUCUACGGUUUUAUGCAAUAUCUCUCUAAAGAUUUGCGUCAUAGACUGUACUUCGUAUCCUGUAUUUUUUAACCCGAAGGGCAUGCCUAUAUAAGGUAAGAGUCAAUGUCGAAAGGGAUGUGGAAUGGGCGAAUCUGUAGAGGUCGUCCGGGUGCUUUUCCUCCCUACCUAAUAAAGCCGACGUUGAGAAGCUUCUGCACCUCUUUCUCUAUCUUUUCCAUGAGUAGAGGGUGGAACCUUCUCUGUGCUUGUUUUAUCGACUUUGCAUCUUACCGAAUUUUGAGCUCAUAGACGGCGACAGAUUUUUUCCCUGGCAUCUCUGCAUAGCGGAAUGCAAACACAUCACGGAACUAUUGGAGAGGUUGGGUAUACUACAUCACUUCUUCAGGAGCAAGGUGGGGCAUUGAUGAAUAUCGGGCGUGGUUCAUUGUCCGUGCCAAAAUGGAUCUGCUUGAAUUCAUCUUCUGUGGGAGGAGCUUUACAUAAUAGGGGGCUCUUUUCUUUCUGACGCUGCACGUGUUAAGGCUUGGAGUUAUUCUUCAAAUUCCUCUACCAUUAGGAAGUCAACUAAUUGACCAUUAAUACUGGAAAUUAGCCUUCGUAAAGUCUUUCUAUCACUCGUAAGGCCGACAUUGAAGACAUAGCCCUAGUUCUCAGGUAGAAUAUAGGGUAUAGGGAUGAUAAGGCAUCUGUCUCCUUGCAGGAAAAAAUAUGAAAUAGUUAUAAUAACCCAUUAUGAAAUAUAUACAAAUAUUCUUUUCAUUGAUAGGAACACACGACCUAAGUAACCUUAAAAUGGGGAUGCCAAUCUUAUACAUAAAAUACCGCUAUCUAAAGUAACAGGGAGCUGCGCUAUAUCAUGGAAGAAGGAGCAAAAAAGCCAGGCAUUAAAAUGAAAGAAUUGAUAAUCUCCCCGAAUUCUUACUUCUCCAUCAAGAAUCCUGUCUUCUUCUCUAUCUCGACGGAAGUAUUUGUUAUAAGCAUAUAAAUAGAGGCACAUAUGUGUAUGACAUAUGAUAUACAUAUCUUUCACGAGCAGCGUCGCUGCUUGAUCGGCGGGGAGGAGCAUCUCAAAGUAUGGGGCAAAGGAUCAAGCGCUUUGACUUUGUCUCCCGGGAUCCACCACAGGUUAGGUUUGAGAGCCGUGUGAUGGGUGACUAUCCAGCAUGGUUCGGAGAGCACUUUUAGUCUUUGUUGGUGAAUGGAAGCCCCCUAUCAAGCAAGAAAGAAGUGGCUCUUCCCACAGCGGAGUCACCAUUGACUCUAUUUAUUAUUAUGGUAAAUCAGUGUAUCAAGAUCCCAAUCUGAGAUCUUAUUUCGGUUCGAUACGUCCACCUACGAGACUCACCUUUGGCUUUCUUCUCGGUAGGUUUAUUAUUAUACAUCGUUUAAAGGGCCUUAUAUUAUAAAGAAAGAAUAAAGAAAGUCAAGAUUGUUCUUGCGGAGAAAAGCCUACUUACUUGCUCUUGCUGCUUUUAAUUUAAGAGCAAGUCGGUCUAGCUUCUUAAUCUUUCACCUUUCAAAGAAGUCGAAAUAGAAAGGGGUAGGAAAGAUCCCGUGUACCUUGUUCAAGUUGUGGAUCUCCUUCAUUAGCUUUGAGUUCAUUGUUGUUCUUCUGGUUCUCCUUUAAAAUAAAAGGGGUCGUGGGGGAAAUGCCCCAGUCCCCCUACAUGCAUUAAGUGACGACGGCUCAAACGAAGCAAACCAUUUCUCAUAAGAGAAUAGAAAAUCACAAGAAAGAUUUGAUCAAAAGUGACUAGAAAAGAGGCAGUCGAGAAGGAAUGAGUGGAAACUAUGUUGAUUGAGUGCAAUUUCUAAAUUAGGAAAGAUUAGACAGAAUCCUACCAAUCUAAAUCAAAGUUUCCAACAGUGAAAGGCUGCCCCUGUCGGCGGGUUGCUUAGGUCCAUGUAGUCCAAAUCUCCGCUUAGGAAAGAAGUCCAAGUUGACUUUUUGUGAAAGGGAAAAUGGCUUUCUGUUAGAGAGUGAUCGAGAGAAAUUUUCAGUUGGGAGCCAGUCUUUUGCAGCUAGGAGACAUUGUUGUUAUGUUUUCCAGUUAUGAGCCAUUAUUGUGUGGUCCCUUUCGAGCGGUUCCUUCUUUUUUUUUCGAUGAUUUAAAGGCGACAGCUCUUUUCACCAAGGAACUGGGGUUUAGAGCUAUAACACAUACGCAAGAAGGUAGAAUGCCUUAAUGGGCAAGUACGCUAAGGAAGGGGAGUCGCUUGCUUGUUUGGUGUGUUUGGAACCGGGUUGUUUAAAGCUACCCUUUCUUGAAGAAAGAGAACCUGGGCCCAGGUCUUGGUGUAUUUUGACAUGAUUCUCAAUACGCUAUCUAAACUAGGAAAGUCAGUAAGGAAAGGUGGGACAAAGAAAGCUCUACUUCGGGUAGCUGGGUGCAUCAACCUCUUUCUUUCACAGGAGAGGGGACAAUACGCUCUUAAGGAGCUUGGGCUAUUCAACCGAUAGGAAUAGGGGCUGUGUAAAGUGCCAAACCUUCUACUCAGAAAGUGAGGGACAAGUCACAUCGUUACAGUUUACAAUUCACUUUCCCUGGAAAAAGGCAUUACCCCCGCCCAGAAUGAACAGAAUGAAGCAGUGAACUUGCUUAUCUCAUGUCAACCUGGGCAGAAAAACAACUUGCUUGACACUAAUACGCAAGAGCCGAGGCAGAUGGUAAUUGAAAAAGUGCUUAUAUUGGUGGAUUGUAUAGCAUUAUAGACUUGGUUACGCUGUUAAGGUUAGAGAGCAAUGCCACACUUAGGGAUACCUUACAUUUUAAUGGGAUAGUAGUUCCAGCCGGUAAAAAACCAAGAUAAAUUUAAACUUUUCAAGGAACAUUUCAAUAGUUACAAUCAUCCGGGAUGAUAUCAGUUCUUCUGCAGCAAAAGGAACAAUUUCAGUACCUAUAUACACAUAUUUCUCCAGAAUACCUAUUUAUACUUAUAAAUGGACGCCCUUCCCCAGAAAGAAAAUAUUGUUUUUGAGGAUCUUUUUUUGACUCAAUCCCACGGCUUUAGGAAAGGAAGAGGGCCGAGAAGAAAGGAUAACUUAGAGCUUCAAGUAGCUUCCCAAUGCUCGAUGCACAAGAGAGGCGUUAGAACUAUUAAGCAGGAAACCUCCGGAUAUAGGGUUGACAUUCUAACGUGAAAACUCUUUUAACCAAUUCUCUUUUUGACCUCUUGACGGAAGAUCUAUCAACACCUUCCUUGAUCCAUUGACUGAUCAAAGAAUUUAUCAAGGAAUACUCAAGGGGAUUUGGAGGACCAGCAAGGCGAGGGGAGUGAAAAGCCUCCAAGCUAGUAAAGGAUUGGUUCUUCAACCGACGCAAAGACCUAGCGCUUUCCCCUUGAACUGGACUUGAUUCCCGCACUUAGCUUAAGAGCUAAACUGCCGAAGUUGUUCAAUGAGUUUUCGGUAUUGUACCGCUACCAAUCGAUCUGCGAUGACAAUGUCGUCACCCAAAAUCGCAUACUUGGUAAAACUUAACUCCCGGGUACACUAACUCCGCCGCAUACCACACCACAAAGUGAUGUGAUAGAAUUUAACUUAUCACCUCGAAUGAAUGGCAUUGAUGUUAUUCAUAGGCUUGUUUGAAGGGAAAAUCCCACAGACGAAAGAGAAAAACCAGUCUUAGCAAUAACCGUUGUUAGAGUUAUAUCAUCAACCCUAGCUAUUUCAUCAGCUACACACGAAUCUCACUCUAUUAAUAUAAUUUAAUUCUCAUACAAACCUUCUUGCAAAGAGAAGAGCUAGCAUCCGUCCAGCGCGCAGGAAAGAGAAGACUGGAAAGCCGGAGUCAGCCAACCGUGGUGAAAAGGCGGCAAGCACAGAUGAGAGGGACAUCACUGAAGAGCUUAACUGACGAGCUAUUUUUUUGAUUAGCGCUUCUGCUCACUAGCUAGAUCAGACUGUCUGUACCUUUGCUACUAAGGAUAGACUGAAUUCAAAUAAGCCUUCACUUUCAAUCCGUUGAAAUGUAUGGGUUAGGAUGACCAGCUUUCGUACAAGAGUUUACCUAGAAAAAGCCUGACUGUGAAACCGACUCGACAAAGAGAGAGGAAAGUCAACCAAGUGUUCAAUCUAUUAAAUAGACUAUUUUUCUUUCAUUAAAGUUUACAGAUAAGUAAGAUAUUGAAAGGGGCAGAACGCUUUCUAAGCUAGACUUUCUCCUUACGUCCUCCGGGGCCUUAUGUUUCAAAAAAGAGUCCCCACUUGUACUGUAUGUACUGAUUGCCUGCCUCAAUGCCUGCUGACUUACUGGUCACUUUAUUAAGUUCCUAGGAACGAACAAGGAAUAUUUUUAGCCGUUCGCUUGUCGUUGGGGCUAUAGUACUUGCAUUUCUGCUGUUAGCAUGGUUUGAUGGCAUAGAAUCAAUAGUAGACACGCACAAAACAGAAGAGAAAGAAGGAAUUGCUAGCUCUUUGAACGACUCCGGUGCUAUACUAUAGAAUCUCUUUCCAGAAGAGGGCUAUUCUAAAGGCCUUGCCUUAUGAAAGAAAGAAAGGAUAAGAGUAGGGGAGCGAAGAGAGUAGGCUACACAUGACAGACUCUGCUCCUAUUUCAAAUGCUGUUCUUGCCGAAAAAGGCUUAUCUGGUCUCAACCUCUUCCGGUCUUAAGUUGCUUACUCCUUUCCAUACGACCCGAGGUACGAAGUGUCUCUUCUGCAUUUGACCUGAGACUGGGAGUUGAACUCUAUUGAUACGGCUAGGAAGAGGAAGGAAAAAAGCAUGUACAGUUUCCUCUUAUUGGUAUAUUUCUUUACUUAUUAUAAGAAAAGUCAUUAUUUUUCUUUAUUUUUCGCUUUGUUCUGUACAUCAUAUACGUCCAUCAUUAGGCGGUACAGUAAAAGAAAAGCAUAAAAGCGUUUUUUGUACCAAAAAAAUAUCUCUAACCAAUCUUUCGGAAGAGGGUCCUCCUCACAACCCUGAAGAGCGUUUCCCAGCGAUUUAAAAAGCCACCGAAUCAACUUCAACCUAUAUAUGAAUUUAUGAAGACCGAAUAUAUAACAUAGAAUGGUCCAUAGAGAUGACAUUUUCACUUUAUUUUAGAACAACCCCCUUCCCGAACCAUUCAUCCCUUUUGGCAUUGACUCUUACCUUAUAUAGGCAUGCCCUUCGGGUUAAAAAAAUGCAGGAUACGAAGUACAGUCUAUGACGCAAAUCUUCAGAGAGAUAUUGCAUAAAACCGUAGAAUGCUACGUGGAUGACCUAGCCGUAAAAAGCCGUAAAAGAGUCGACCACUUGGCAGAUUUACGAAAAGUCUUCCUUAGGCUUAGGCAACACAACCUGAAGAUGAACCCUAUAAAGUGCUUCUUCGGAGUAUUGUCAGGGAAAUUCCUCAGAUUCAUAGUACGAAAGAAAGGGAUUAAGGUGUAUCCCGCGAGAUGAUUCUGGUUAAACCGGGCAUUCCUCAGAGCAAGGAAAGAUCUUUCAAAAAUAGAAUUAAGAGAAAGCGCUAGAACCGAUGUAAGUAAGAUCCGCUACAACUAGAAGUCGAUCUGGUACCUUCCUCCGGGUACUCAACAAAAAAGAGAAUAGGUUGUAGAUCUUAUAUACUUCUUCUCCAUCUUCCCUUCAAAUGGCAUUCUCUUCCUCGGUAAAGUAAAAAGUAAGGAAGUCUUAGAUGCCACAGAACUCUUAGAAGACUGUGUCAUCUUUUAAGCUCUGUCCCUAUGGUUUGCUCAUCUCUCGGUACAGCGAGAUAGUCUAUGAAGGAGAAAAAAUUUCUAGUAAAGAAGAAAAUGAAUUAAGGAAUAAGAUAAGAGAUGAAUGGAUGAAAAGAGGAAGAGGAGCUGCUUUCUCUCUCUUUCUCCUAAGUCCCAGUACAGUAAAGCUUACCCUCGUUCCUUUUCUCUGUACUUUACUUGUAUGCAAUUGAAACUAUCCUUACUUUAUUAACGGGAACUAACUUGACUCGCUAGGGGUAGGGCUGAGGAUCCAGCAUCCCAACCUGAAUUAGAGGGGCGCUCCAAUUCGAAGCGUGGACUACUAAGGAAGGCCCAUUUCCAUAUCGGGUAGAGUCUUCAAUAGUGUUUUGGAAUUCAUCGAUAUGGGAGUACAAAUUUUUCAGGUACUCUAACAGAUAGAGCUUUUUCUGCGGCAUAUUGAGAGCCAUAUAGUCUCCCGCUGGCCCAAUGAAUGAAUGAAAGUCAUUCUUUUAGUAAGCGUAUAUAAGCAGCUGUUUAGUGUAUAAGCAAUUCUUUAGUGGCCGUACCGAAAGGUACGUACGGCGGAGGUUGGUUGAAGAUGAUGUUACGCGGCGUUCAGAACCAGCCUUGAAGUGAAUAAAUUAGAAAGAACGAAGAAGUAAGGAAAUGAGACGACUUUUUCUUGAACUAUAUCAUAAACAGAUCUUCCCCUCCACACCAAUCACGAGUUUUUCUCCAUUCCUCUCGUAUAUCGUCGUAACGCCCUUAAUACUAGGUUUUGAAAAAGACUUUUCAUGUCAUUUCCAUUUAGGUCCGAUUCGGAUCCCUCCGUUGUUUUCAGCAGCCAACUCAGCUCUUUUUUAUGCCAAAAUUUCUUCAGAUGUAGGGGGCCGAUAGGCUGCAUUUAAUUGGGUUUUGGGGGCUGCAAUCUCGGUGCCUCUUUGUUUUGUGCUAUAAUCUCAUUUUGACGGGCCAAGGCUGCCCUAAUUUCCGCCAUUCACUAUCUGUACGACGGAAAGGACUGGAGAUGAAUCGAUCGUAGUCAUUGCGGGUAAUAAAACUAGCCCACGUUGUGAAAGGAAUGAGCUAGCUGAAGCUUCUGACGAUUCUGACUGAGACCUCGGUGAGGAGGCUGAGUCUUUUUUUUACCUCGAAAGGGAGGUCCUCCUUAUGAUGCUACGGUCGGCUGUCCGAAGUGCAUGCAAGGGGUAAAGUCGGAUAGGAUAGGAUUGUGCAUGCCGGGCCCUUCGGGUGUCAUAUUUUGGCCGAGUUUACCGUACCUCUGGCCCUUAUGUUACGCGACCGUAAUAUUUUGUUACGUUCCACCGCUGUUACGCCAGAGAUAAAAGGUUCCACACGAGCUCUCGUUCUGCGGCGUGGUGGCAGGAAUAAAACUGUAUUUUAUAAUAUACAAAAUAAUAGGAUGAUUCCUAAACCUAUGACUCGAUCUGGAGAUCGAAGUAGGGUUACCCUAUGACCUUUAAUUGCAUUUCGUAAGACUAUGGCUUUAGCGGUCAAGUAUUUCUUAGUGACAUAAUCAAGGAUCCAUUCUCCUCCUUUUUGGUAGCCAUGUCGGUAUCCAUACGUAUGAGCACGAGCUUGUUCAAACCUUUCCUUAAUAGAUAUGAGAAUGAUUGGUUUAGGUUGGGUUAGUAAAAAAAAUAGAGACGAUGAUUUCAUAUCGAUGAGUUUAGAGCUACUUUAUCUUUGGAACGCUUUCCUUCCCUUCCCUCUAGUGGGGAAGCAAGCUGGAAUCUAUAAAGAUACUAUACUAAGGUAUAGUGCUGCUACCAGAGAAGGCUGUUUCAUGCUAGGCGUCCAGACCUACUACGCCCGAGCCGCAUCCCCGGCACACUUGCUAUAUCCACUAAGGCUUCAUCCCACUUCAUCCUACCAACUAUACCUGAUAUAAAGUCGUUCUAUAAAAAUUCAAGACAACAAGAAAGCAGGAAAACGAUAGCGAUCGGUUUGAGAGCGUCACUGGGGGGAGGAAAGAAGUAUUUCAAGGACCCGGCUUCGUGGACGAGAAAGAAUAGAAGAAAGGGCAUGCCCGACCCGAGCUACUAGGCCAGGGCCUGAGGAGAGGAACUAUUUCAAGCAAGGAUGCUAUGACCUCAGACUUGAGACCGAUUCAAAGAUAUAGGAAUGAAUGAAUCCAAUGUCAUCUAUACCGUGUUUUUGGGCUGUCAUAAUGUGACAGUUUCGACUUCUGUCGUCUCUAUCUAUUCCGUUUAGGGAAUGGGCUUAUUCAUUCCGAUUUCUGUAAAAUAUACUAUAAACUUUUAUAAAAUAAAGAUGACUUUAUUGAUAUUUCCUACUCGUUAAAAUAAGCGAUACUUAUUCCAUAAUGCCUACUUCCCACUAGGGGUGACAGGAUUUUCCUCUUCAAAUUCCGGAGGCUUUCGAUCUGACAUCAAGACUUGAAAGCUCUCUCUGUGCACUUCUCUUUGCUUGGCGCUAGCUUGAUUCUUUUUCUUUUCUUGAGUUUCGAAAACGGAAAGAACGUAGGAUAGGAUAAGUGAGGAUACGGAAUGAAUGCUCUUCGAUGCUAGCUAGGUAUUUAUGGACGGACACUUACCUUUUUUGACAAAGGGUGGGAAGACUUCGCCUUAGUAUAAUCGGGUAAAUCACUAUUAGGAGAAUAAGGGAGCUUACGAAAAGGGCUAUCAAACGACUGUGACUUUCAAUUGGCCUUGUCUCGCUUAACUCGUCGAGUAAUGAUUAUCCUAGAAGGAAGAUCUGUUCGAAAGGUCUCGCCAAAAAUCCAUUUAAUGAUUAGCUCCUAGCCCCUGUUUCUUGAAUUGGUGGGAAGACUUCGCCUUAGUAUAAUCGGGUAAAUCACUAUUAGGAGAAUAAGGGAGCUUACGAAAAGGGCUAUCUGUAACAGCCCGAUUCUAGGCCUAGUCGGAAUAGUGGUUUCGGGACCACAAAUCCGACGAGGGAAAAUAUGGUUAUUAUUAUAUUUUUAUGAUCUACAAUUUCACGGAAAAUUUUCGUAAAAAUUUCGUUCGAAAAUUUCGACGUUUGGGCACUCAAUUUAGUCAAAAGGACUAAAUUGUAAAUAGUGCAAAAGUUGAGUUCUACAUCUUAGAGGUGUCUAAUUGUUAUGAAAUUUUAAAUUGGAGGUCUUUAUGUGGUAAUUAGACCAUUAGUUAGUUGAUGGACAAAAAUAGACAUAAGAAAUGGGUGAAAUAGAUUUUUUUUAAAUGGGGGCAUUUUAGUCAUUUGGUUAUUAAAUAGAAUUAAAUGGGAAAAAGAUGGCAAAAUAUGCUCAUCUUCUUCAUGGUGAACGAAAUCAGCAAGGGGGAAGCCAUAUUUAGGGUUUUUAAGCUUUCAAGCUCCAUAAUCAAGAAAGACGUGAAGAGUAUAUCAAACGGGGAAAAGAAAAGAUAGGGGAGUAAAGUGCAAAAUUACGAUAUUUUGCACCGAGGUAAGUAAACACGUGACUUAAUGUAUUAUUUUGAUAUUAUUUGAUAUAUGUUGAGAUUUAUUUGAAAUUAAAAUAAAUGUUUGGCCAUAUCCUAAAAAUGUUGUUAAAUCGGGAAAGGUGGUAAAGGGUUGCAAUAUAUGGUUUAUGGGUUGAACACUCGGAAUAAGCCGGAGUAUGUUGUAUAUAAAGGGGUUGCUGUGUGCUGAUUCCCCGAUUCAUUGGUGGUGCUAUGUGCGUGAUCCACCAUAUCUUUGAAAUGUGAAAAGGGGGUUGCUAUGUGCUGAUUCCCCCGAGGGGUUGCUAAGUGCUGAUUCCCCGGUUCAUUGGUGGUGCUAAGUGCGAUAUCCACCAUAUCUUUGAAAUGUGAAAGGGGGUUGCUAUGUGCUGAUUCCCCCGAGGGGUUGCUAAGUGCUGAUUCCCCGAUUCAGCGGUGGUGCUAAGUGCGAGAUCCACCAAUAACGGUUAACAUUCCAAGUGUUCAACGAAAAAGUGUGGAAGAUGAAUAUUUCCAUAUGGUGGAAAAUUUUAUGGGGUAAAUAUUGAGUUGAAUACUAAAUCGACCCAUGUAUGAGAUGGGAGAAAAUAUCAAAAACGCAAAAGGAACGAUUUAAUUAUAAACUGUGUUGAACAACAGCAGUUGGGUAACUUUGAAAAAUCACCAUAAAUGGUGGAAAAUGAAUGGGAAGCUGAAUAAUAUAUGAAAUUGAAGCUGAAUGUGUCUAUUUUCAUAUGAAAGAAAUAGAAUAAGCAAAAGAGUUGUAUUUUUGGAGAUAUCUGAAUUUUACUGAAACAGGGCUAGAUUGAUUUCGAGAUCCCCUGUUCUAACUUUGGAAAAUUACCAAAAAUUUAAAACAAAUAAUUAUGGCAUGAAAUUUAUAUCCCUGGAAUCCUUAUUGAGUAUAUUUUUAUUAGAAACAAGAAAACCCAUUUUUCAAAUUUUGUACAGAGAGUUAAGUAAAUUUUAGUGAGGAAGGGUCAGAACCGUUGGGCAGUGAAACAGGGGAAGGUUUAAUGAAUAAACUGUACUAAUUGGCUGGGUUAAAAAUUCUGAAAUUUUUAUGGUAAAAUGGUAUAUGAGUCUAGUUUCAGGGAAAAUUUACAGAACUCAAUUUGGAGCUCUGUAGCUCCAGAUAAAAAUAAAUUAGCGACUAUGACGCAGAAAAACAGCUUGCUGGAAAUUGCCUAAACAAUAAAGUUAUUCAUGAAUAAGUUUAUAUUUUGGUGUAGUUAUGGGAGUAAUUACUUAUUUAUCAUGUGUUUACUUACUAAGCUAUAUGCUUACUCGAUUUUAUUUUUCUCUUGGUUAUAGUGACUUCCAACAACUCGGAAAUUGGAACGAAGUCAGACAAUCAUCUACACUAUCCUUCACAUUUGGGGUAUUUUACUACUAGUGUUCCGAAAUUUUAUGGCAUGUAUAGACACUUUAUGUAAUGUGGGAUCAUCAUGUAAAUAUAUGUUAUGGUUCCCUUUUAAAUGUAGUGUUUAUUAAUAGUUAAACUAUAUGUGUGUUUAUACAAAUGAAAUUGGUUGGUAUAUUGGAAUGUGUUCUAAAUUUGCAGGAGGUUUAAGCAAAAAUAAGUAGGAAUGCUGUCGAAAAUUUUUAAAAAUUUAGUAAUACCUCAUACUCUGUUCCGGUAAGGAAUACGGGUAAGGGGUGUUACAUUUUAGUGGUAUCAGAGUUACGGUUUAGUCGGUUCUCGGACCAAAAAAAUACGUGUGGAAGUCAGUCUAUACAUGCCAUAAAAUUAUUGUGAUAGUGUGAUGAUUUCUGACAAUUUAAAAUUUUGUUUUAUAUAGUAAAUGGAUCCUGAUCGAAGUGUGGCAGAUGAUGUUGAAAGUAACGUGCCGGCUCUCGCGCAAGGGACCGCGCAGGAAGAGAGUAGACAUGAGACACAUGGACAGGAUGAGGCUCGGGAAGCCUUCCUCCGAAUGAUGAGUGAUUGGUAUAUAGAAUAUGUCCGUGUAAAUCCGAAUGUUCCUCCUCCUCCACCCCCUCCUAUUCCUCAACCGGUCCCCGUAGCUCCACGGAGUGCCGAAUUGGUGAGAUCAAGUAAGCCACCUGUUGAUAGAAUUCGAAAGCAUGGGGCUGAAGAUUUUAGGGCCAAUGUUGAUGAUGAUCCGGAAAAAGCCGAGUUUUGGCUUGAAAAUACUAUUCGGGUAUUUGAUGAAUUAUCUUGCACCCCUGAAGAAUGUUUGAAAUGUGCUGUGUCUUUAUUGAAGGAUUCAGCAUAUCGUUGGUGGAAAACAUUGAUAUCGGUGGUUCCAAAAGAAAGAGUUACUUGGGACUUCUUUCAGGAAGAAUUUAGAAAGAAAUAUGUAAGCCAACGAUUUAUUGAUCAAAAACGCAAAGAGUUUCUCGGGUUGAAACAGGGCCGAAUGUCCAUAGCAGAAUAUGAACGGGAGUUUGUUCGGCUUAGUAAAUAUGCCCAGGAAUGUGUGCCUACGGAGGCUAUUAUGUGUAAAAGAUUUGAAGAGGGGCUAAAUGAAGACAUCAGAUUGCAUGUUGGGAUUUUAGAGUUAAAAGAAUUUGUGGUGUUAGUUGAUCGGGCCUGUAAAGCUGAAGAACUGAGUAGAGAAAAGAGAAGGGCAGAGAUGGAAUCUCGAGAUGUAAGGAAGAGGACAAUGGGCAGAACAUUUCAAUCUCAUUCGAAGAAGUUUAAAGGGAUGGAUCCACGACCAACUGGUUCAGUUGGGUAUUCACGCAGAGACCGAGGGAGGUCGUAUUCUGGAGCUACAACUCGAGCUACCUCUGUAGCAAGUGUGGGCAAUGUAGGAAACACCCGGCCUAAAUUUCAACAGUGUGGCAGGUGACAUAUUGGUGAGUGUUGGGGAUUUAAACGAGCUUGUUUCAGGUGUGGUUCCCAAGAGCAUUAUGUAAGAGAUUGCCCUGAGAGAAGAGAGGAAGAAAAUUUGCCAAGAGCUAGAUCGGGUGAUAUUGUUAGUAGAGGGAGACCGCCGAGAAAUGUGGGAAGCAAAGUCAGUGGUAAAAGUGUGAUGAAAGAUGCAGCUGGAGGAUCAGAAAUUAGAGCGCCUGCCAGGACUUAUGCCAUACGUGCUCGAGAGGAUGCCUCAUCUCCCGAUGUGAUUACUGGUACAUUUUCUCUUCAUGAUAUAGAUGUUAUUGCUUUGAUUGAUCCCGGCUCUACUCAUUCAUAUGUAUGCAUGAAAUUGGUAUCUAGUAAGAAAUUGCCUGUUAAAAACACUGAAUAUGUAGUUAAAGUAUCAAAUCCAUUAGGCAAGUAUGUCUUAGUUGAUAAGAUUUGCAAGAAUUGCCCCCUGAUGAUUCAAGGUCACUGUUUCCUGGCUAAUUUGAUGUUGUUACCAUUUGAUGAGUUCGAUGUUAUUUUGGGGAUGGAUUGGUUGAUAUUGCAUGAUGCCAAGGUGAAUUGUAGACAGAAAAUUCUUGAAUUAAAGUGUGAAAAUGGUGAAAUUCUCCGGAUUGAAACAGAGGAGCCGAAUAAGUUGCCUAUGGUGAUUUCGCACAUGUCUGCUCAGAAAUACUUGAGAAAGGGAUGCGAAGUUUAUCUUGCUUAUGUGUUGAAUACUGAUAUAACUGGGUCGAAGCUUGAAUCAGUGCCGGUAGUCCGUGAAUUUCCAGAUGUAUUUCCAAAGGAAUUGCCUGGGUUACCUCCGACUAGAGAAGUUGAGUUUUCUAUUGAUCUGUUACCUGGUACUGCACCGAUUUCUAUUGCACCGUAUCGAAUGGCUCCGACUGAGUUGAAGGAAUUAAAAGCUCAGUUACAAGAGUUGACAGAUAAAGGAUUUGUGAGACCGAGUUUUUCUCCUUGGGGUGCUCCUGUGUUAUUUGUGAAAAAGAAGGACGGCUCUAUGAGACUUUGUAUUGACUAUCGUCAGCUCAAUAAGGUGACCAUAAAGAACAAGUAUCCUUUGCCGAGAAUUGAUGAUUUGUUUGAUCAAUUAAAAGGGGCAACAGUGUUCUCCAAGAUCGAUCUGAGGUCUGGUUGCUAUCAGUUGAGAGUUAAAGAGUCUGAUGUGCCGAAAACCGCCUUUAGAACGAGUUAUAGACACUAUGAAUUUCUGGUAAUGCCUUUUGGGUUGACUAAUGCUCCAGCUAUUUUUAUGGACUUGAUGAACCGAAUUUUUCGGCUGUACUUAGACAAGUUCGUGGUGGUGUUCAUAGAUGAUAUUUUAAUCUAUUCUCAGGAUGAAUCGGAACAUGCAGAACAUUUGAGAACUGUGUUGCAGAUUCUGAGAGAAAAUAAAUUGUAUGCUAAAUUCAGCAAAAGUGAGUUUUGGCUUCGUGAGGUUGGAUUCUUGGGACAUAUAGUUUCAAGUGAAGGUAUUCGGGUUGAUCCAAGCAAAAUUUCAGCAAUUGCUGAUUGGGAGCCACCAAAGAAUGUGACUGAAGUUAGAAGCUUCCUGGGCUUAGCUGGGUAUUACAGACGGUUUGUCAAGGGAUUCUCGAUGAUUGCUUCUCCUAUGACUAAGUUACUGCAGAAGAAUGUCAAGUUUGAAUGGACCGAUAAAUGUCAACAGAGUUUUGAAAAGUUGAAGGCAUUAUUGACUGAGGCGCCAGUGUUGGUGCAACCUGAGUCCGGGAAGGAAUUUGUAAUUUACAGUGAUGCAUCGUUGAAUGGCCUUGGGUGUGUGUUAAUGCAAGAGGGCAAAGUAAUAGCUUAUGCUUCGAGACAGUUGAAACCGCAUGAGAAGAAUUAUCCGACGCAUGAUUUAGAAUUGGCUGCCAUUGUUUUUGCUUUAAAAAUUUGGCGUCAUUAUUUGUAUGGUGAAAAGUGCCGAGUCUUCACUGAUCAUAAGAGUUUGAAAUAUUUGAUGAGUCAAAAAGACUUGAAUUUGCGGCAACGAAGAUGGCUCGAGCUAAUCAAAGACUAUGAGCUAGUGAUUGAUUAUCACCCCGGGAAAGCUAAUGUGGUUGCUGAUGCCUUGAGCAGAAAAUCUUUAUUUGCUUUGAGAGCUAUGGGUACGAUGUUAACUUUAUCUGAUGAUGGCUCAAUGUUGAUUGAAUUGAGAGCUAGACCGUUAUUUCUUCAGCAAAUUCGGGAAUCUCAAAAGAAUGACAGUAAAUUGCAAGCCAAGAGAGCUCAGUGUGAAGCAGGUGUUGACUCAGAUUUUCAAAUUGGUUCAGAUGAUUGCCUGAUGUUCAGGGACAGAAUAUGUGUACCGAGAAAUGAUGAGCUAAUUCGGACUAUUUUAGGUGAGGCACACAGUGGUGAUUUAUCAGUCCAUCCGGGUAGUGUGAAAAUGUACAAUGAUUUGAGGAAGUUGUAUUGGUGGCCGGGCAUGAAAAAGGAUAUCUCGGAAUUUGUAACAAAAUGUUUAAUCUGUCAACAAGUAAAGGCUGAGCAUCAAGUGCCAUCGGGUUUACUUCAACCGAUAAUGAUUCCAGAAUGGAAGUGGGACAGUAUCACGAUGGAUUUCGUGACAGGAUUGCCUUUAACUCCAAAGAAGAAAGAUGCUAUUUGGGUAAUUGUGGAUAGAUUGACAAAGUCAGCCCAUUUUAUUCCGAUACGCAUUGAUUAUUCACUUGACAGGUUGGCUGAAUUAUAUGUUGCUGAAAUAGUGAGACUACAUGGGGUGCCUAAAUCUAUUAUAUCGGAUAGAGAUCUGAGAUUUACUUCGAGGUUUUGGAUAAAGUUACAGGAAGCUUUGGGUACGAAAUUGAAUUUCAGUACUGCAUUUCAUCCGCAAACUGACGGGCAAUCAGAAAGGGUGAUUCAAGUUCUUGAAGACAUGCUCCGGUGUUGUAUUUUAGAAAUGAAGGACAGUUGGGAGAAAUAUCUACCACUGGUUGAAUUUGCUUAUAAUAAUAGUUAUCAGUCAAGUAUACAAAUGGCACCGUAUGAAGCAUUAUAUGGGCGUAAAUGUAGAACCCCUUUAUAUUGGAUUGAACUCGGUGAGAAUCGGAUUCAUGGAGUCGACCUGGUGAAAGAAACUGAAGAAAAGGUGAAAAUAAUCCGUGAUUGCCUAAAAGCUGCCUCAGAUCGGAAAAAGUCGUAUGCGAUUUAAAGAGAAAAGAAAUUGAGUUUCAAGUGGGUGAUAAAGUGUUCUUGAAAGUAUCCCCAUGGAAGAAGAUUCUGAGAUUUGGUCGUAAAGGCAAACUAAGUCCACGUUUUAUUGGACUAUAUGAAGUUACCGAGAGAGUUGGCCCUGUAGCAUAUUGGUUAGCUUUACCGCCAGAGUUGGAAAAGAUACAUAAUGUAUUUCAUGUGUCGAUGUUGCGACGUUAUCGUUCGGAUCCUUCACAUAUAGUUUCUCCUACAGAGAUUGAGGUUCGACCAGAUAUGACUUAUGAAGAAGAACCCAUAAAGAUUUUGGCUCGGGAGGUCAAACAGUUAAGAAAUAAAAGUGUAGCCUUAGUGAAAGUGUUGUGGCAAAAACAUGGAAUGGAAGAGGCUACGUGGGAACCGGAGGAAAUUAUGAGGAAACAGUACCCAAACCUCUUUUCCGGUAAGAUUUUCGGGGACGAAAAUCCCUAAGGGGGAGAGUUGUAACAGCCCGAUUCUGGGCCUAGUCGGAAUAGUGGUUUCGGGACCACAAAUCCGACGAGGGAAAAUAUGGUUAUUAUUAUAUUUUUAUGAUCUACAAUUUCACGGAAAAUUUUCGUAAAAAUUUCGUUCGAAAAUUUCGACGUUUGGGCACUCAAUUUAGUCAAAAGGACUAAAUUGUAAAUAGUGCAAAAGUUGAGUUCUACAUCUUAGAGGUGUCUAAUUGUUAUGAAAUUUUAAAUUGGAGGUCUUUAUGUGGUAAUUAGACCAUUAGUUAGUUGAUGGACAAAAAUAGACAUAAGAAAUGGGUGAAAUAGAUUUUUUUUAAAUGGGGGCAUUUUAGUCAUUUGGUUAUUAAAUAGAAUUAAAUGGGAAAAAGAUGGCAAAAUAUGCUCAUCUUCUUCAUGGUGAACGAAAUCAGCAAGGGGGAAGCCAUAUUUAGGGUUUUUAAGCUUUCAAGCUCCAUAAUCAAGAAAGACGUGAAGAGUAUAUCAAACGGGGAAAAGAAAAGAUAGGGGAGUAAAGUGCAAAAUUACGAUAUUUUGCACCGAGGUAAGUAAACACGUGACUUAAUGUAUUAUUUUGAUAUUAUUUGAUAUAUGUUGAGAUUUAUUUGAAAUUAAAAUAAAUGUUUGGCCAUAUCCUAAAAAUGUUGUUAAAUCGGGAAAGGUGGUAAAGGGUUGCAAUAUAUGGUUUAUGGGUUGAACACUCGGAAUAAGCCGGAGUAUGUUGUAUAUAAAGGGGUUGCUGUGUGCUGAUUCCCCGAUUCAUUGGUGGUGCUAUGUGCGUGAUCCACCAUAUCUUUGAAAUGUGAAAAGGGGGUUGCUAUGUGCUGAUUCCCCCGAGGGGUUGCUAAGUGCUGAUUCCCCGGUUCAUUGGUGGUGCUAAGUGCGAUAUCCACCAUAUCUUUGAAAUGUGAAAGGGGGUUGCUAUGUGCUGAUUCCCCCGAGGGGUUGCUAAGUGCUGAUUCCCCGAUUCAGCGGUGGUGCUAAGUGCGAGAUCCACCAAUAACGGUUAACAUUCCAAGCGUUCAACGAAAAAGUGUGGAAGAUGAAUAUUUCCAUAUGGUGGAAAAUUUUAUGGGGUAAAUAUUGAGUUGAAUACUAAAUCGACCCAUGUAUGAGAUGGGAGAAAAUAUCAAAAACGCAAAAGGAACGAUUUAAUUAUAAACUGUGUUGAACAACAGCAGUUGGGUAACUUUGAAAAGUCACCAUAAAUGGUGGAAAAUGAAUGGGAAGCUGAAUAAUAUAUGAAAUUGAAGCUGAAUGUGUCUAUUUUCAUAUGAAAGAAAUAGAAUAAGCAAAAGAGUUUUAUUUUUGGAGAUAUCUGAAUUUUACUGAAACAGGGCUGGAUUGAUUUCGAGAUCCCCUGUUCUAACUUUGAAAAAUUACCAAAAAUUGAAAAAAAAUAAUUAUGGCAUGAAAUUUAUAUCCCUGGAAUCCUUAUUGAGUCUAUUUUUAUUAGAAACAAGAAAACCCAUUUUUCAAAUUUUUUACAGAGAGUUAAGUAAAUUUUAGUGAGGAAGGGUCAGAACCGUUGGGCAGUGAAACAGGGGAAGGUUUAAUGAAUAAACUGUACUAAUUGGCUGGGUUAAAAAUUCUGAAAUUUUUAUGGUGAAAUGGUAUAUGAGUCUAGUUUCAGGGAAAAUUUACGGAACUCAAUUUGAAGCUCUGUAGCUCCAGAUAAAAAUAAAUUAGCGACUAUGACGCAGAAAAACAGCUUGCUGGAAAUUGCCUAAACAAUAAAGUUAUUCAUGAAUAAGUUUAUAUUUUGGUGUAGUUAUGGGAGUAAUUACUUAUUUAUCAUGUGUUUACUUACUAAGCUAUAUGCUUACUCGAUUUUAUUUUUCUCUUGGUUAUAGUGACUUCCAACAACUCGGAAAUUGGAACGAAGUCAGACAAUCAUCUACACUAUCCUUCACAUUUGGGGUAUUUUACUACUAGUGUUCCGAAAUUUUAUGGCAUGUAUAGACACUUUAUGUAAUGUGGGAUCAUCAUGUAAAUAUAUGUUAUGGUUCCCUUUUAAAUGUAGUGUUUAUUAAUAGUUAAACUAUAUGUGUGUUUAUACAAAUGAAAUUGGUUGGUAUAUUGGAAUGUGUUCUAAAUUUGCAGGAGGUUUAAGCAAAAAUAAGUAGGAAUGCUGUCGAAAAUUUUUAAAAAUUUAGUAAUACCUCAUACUCUGUUCCGGUAAGGAAUACGGGUAAGGGGUGUUACACUAUCAAACGGCUGUGACUUUCAAUUGGCCUUGUCUCGCUUAACUCGUCGAGUAGUGAUUAUCCCGGAAGGAAGAUCUGUUCGAAAGGUCUCGCCAAAAAUCCGUAUAAUGAUUAGCUCCUAGCCCCCGCUUCUUGAAUUGGUGACCCAUUCCGCAAUAAGACCAGAAACGUUGCCCUUAGAAUUUCCAAAAGGAAAGUUCUGUCCCUUCCAGGAAUCGAAAGGGCCAACAAGUGUCUACUCACGACGGAAUUUUUGUUGAUCCUUCCGAAACUGAAAGACUUGAUAGGAAACUGCGGGUAUUUUACCCUAUUUAAACUAAUUCAUUUUAUAAAAUAGCUUAGUUAAAAAGAAAUAUGUGUUAUUAUAACUAUUUCAUAUUUUUUCCUGCAAGGAGACAUAUGCCUUAUUAUCCCUAUACCCUAUAUUCUACCUGAGAACUAGGGCUAUGUCUUCAAUGUCGGCCUUACAAGUGAUAGAAAGACUUUACGAAGGCUAAUUUCCAGUAUUAAUGGUCAAUUAGUUGACUUCCGACUGCACUCUACACUCUAACUUUCUUUAAUUCCGUUAGAUUGCUUUAGAUGCUUCCUACUUUCAGUAAAGUAAGGACUAUGCUUCUAAGCGGCAUUAACAUCAAAGAGAGGAUUUGGUGGAAGUAGGGAUUUAAGCACAGUUGUGAUUCUGCUUUCAUGUCUUGGAUUGAGGUUUCUCACUCUUUCUAUGCCUCUUCCUUGGAGGACCUUCCCACAACACACACGCGGCGCUAAGGUUCCCGUGGCAACUCAAGCUAAGAUUCAAAGCCAGGAAAAGGUUUUCGAAGAAUUUGACACAGGUUCAGCAAGGACGGGCUUUUCAUCCCAAAGAAGAAGAGCUGAAGUCGAAACCUAAGUCGAAGUUCAAGCUAAAGAAGGUGCCUAAGUUGAAGCUUAAGUCGAUGCCAAAGCCGGUCUGGAAUAGGGAACACCAAUUGAAAGAGCUGCCUUCCCUUACUAAUGUGGGAUCAGUUCCUCUCGAACACCUCCUAGGAGCGUCGCAUUCGAUGCAUCUAGGGUUUUAUUUUAGAGAGGCGCCUUGCGUGUGUGCUAUCUAAACUGAGGUUUUUCCUACCUAGCUCAAUAAUGGAGAGAAUGCCCUUACGGGGUUAUUUCCGUUUAGUCUAAUCCUAUUCUCAUGUGCAAAGGCUUAUCGAUCCCUUUUGAGUCAAAUGUGGCAUUGCACUGACCUGUGCAUAUUCACUCAACCCAAGGCAGGAGAUGACUUUGAUUACCCGUUCCGCACCUGGAUGACUGAAUUUCAUGCUUCAAAGUAGAGUUGAAACCCUAGCACCGAACCCUAGAAGUGAACUAGUAGAAUUAAAAAUAGGCUAAUGAAUCCGCUGCACACUUUCUAUAUCUGUACCUCAUGCCCCCAAUCAUUCGACUGAUAGUAAUAAUGUUAUUAUUAUGCAUAACUAAUAUAGACCUUAUGAAAUAUAUUGACAAAUUUAUGUUAUUAUUAUACAUAAAUAGUGAAGGUAGUCGAUGAGAGGAAUAGGUGGUUUCCAAAGGAGAGAGUUAUUUUAUAUAUGACGCUCUAUCUGUAUUGGAUGGAUGCCGUAGCUGUGGGAUAGAAGGCUUUUCUUUCAAGUCUUCUUUUCUUUGAUCGCCUAAGUCACUACUAACCAUAUCAGCGGAUAUCCUUCAUAGCUCCUUCCUUGCCCCUUUCUACAAACCUUUCUAUAAUAUAAGGGAAGCUCGAAGAGCUUUCUUCGCAUGCUUGAGCCCAUUAAUAAAAUAUUAAUAUCAUAUCGAUCAAGGCUUUCCUUUAGUUUAAUUGCAGCUAGUAAAGUGCCAAACCUUCUACUCAGAAAGUGAGGGACAAGUCACAUCGUUACAGUUUAUAAUUCACUUUCCCUGGAAAAAGGCAUUAGCCCCGCCCAGAAUGAAGCAGCGAACUUGCUUAUCUCAUGUCAGCCCGGGCAGAAAAACAACUUGCUUGACACUAAUACACAAGAGUCGAGGCAGAUGGUAAUUGAAAAAGUGUUUAUAUUGGUGGAUUGUAUAGCAUUACAGACUUGGUUACGCUGUUAGGGUUAGAGAGCAAUGCCACACUUAGGGAUACCUUACAUUUUAAUGGGAUAGUAGUUCCAGCAGGUAAAAAACCAGGAUAAAUUUAAACUUUGCAAGGAACAUUUCAAUAGUUACAACUGAAAGAGAAUCUGAAGCAGGAUCGGAAACAGAAUAAGAUUGAAGAGCGGGGUAAAACCAUUCUCAGAAGGAGCAGGUUUAGCGGAUGGGAAUGGCAUUUUUGAGAAUGCAGUCAAGGCUGAAGGAGCGAAAGAAGCUAACUCGAAUGAAGAAUCUUUCCGAGGAGUGACCCAAAGUAGAAGUUAGAGAAGGAAUUGAUCCUUUCCUGAAGGAUAUAGGACUUAGGACACAAACUAAAUGAUCGUAGUUCACCACACAGGCAUGUUAGUACUAAACUGCAGAAAACUAUUAAGUCAUCCAAUUCAUGCCGCAUUGCGAGAUUACUCUACCACUCUAGAAUUUUUUCUAUUAAGAGAAAAAAAGGAGUGAAAGGCAGGCGAAGGUUGAGUGUUUGGAUCUGAGAAGGAAUCAAUCUGUGUCAGUUAUCUCUUUUUCGCCUGUUCUGGCUAACCCCAUUCCAGUCUAUUAGGCAAGGUCUGUUCAAUUGAGCUUCUAUUAGUCAUUUUAGACAGCUCGGCAAGCAGCUGAACUCUUUUCCUCUUUCUUUUGCUUUGGAUAGAUCUCAAGGGCAAAGUACUCAUUUCGGGCAUGACUCGGAAUAUGAAUAGGGGGCAGGCACUUCAGUCCAGUGCUAUGGGUUCCUCAUUUCCCUAUGGUUGAGCGGUUUGGUUGGCCUGUGAUGAAGAAGAACUUAGAUGAUGACAAUGGAGCUAAAAGAUUUUCGUCUCCAACUCUAAUAAAAAAGACAUUCUCCACGAUAUACUUACCCUUACCUUAAUGUCAAGGCUGACUGAAUUUCAUGCUUUUAAGGCAACCUCGAUUGGAAUUAGGCUUGAACCAGAGGAUCACUGAAACUACCUUUCUAUAUUUACCCAAUUCGAUCCACAAGCUGAAUGCCGUACCUUCCAGAGAGGAGGAUCUGCCAUUGAACUGUUCAAAACCUUUAUUGAAGAAAGAGACUAAGAAAGAGUACAGGACCAAGACCGGAAAGUCACGCUUUGAUCUCCUUUAGCAAGGAAAAAGCUUUCAAACGCGUAUUCGCUGUUGCGAGCCGACUAAACAAGUGGAUUUGAUUCCUUUGCCUUCUGCCUUCCUGCUGACCUAAUACCCAUCAACUAUUAUCCACUGCCGCUUCUUCUUCUCCUCCGAUCAAGACCGAAAGAAGGUUCUUGUAUAGAAGGGUCUGGGCCCUAGUCGCUAGCUCUAUCCCACCCGGCUUGGUCCAUUUGAUCAGUGAGUCUCGCUCUUCGAUCAAAGGAAAUUUUGUCUUGCAUGAAAGAAGGAUCGGGUUAGUGAUCCAAGAUCAUGUCAAGGCUCUUGAGCGUCGCCGGCUUCCACUUUGCUUUGUGAUUAUUGGGGUGCUAUAGUGUCUUUGCCUCCUCUACUGAGAGAAAGUUGUGGGUAGGACCCCUGUUUACGAUGGCCGAGUCUUCUUCCCAUUGAUUCCCACUUUAACGUGGAUGAGCCCCUUUCUCACCGACUUGGGUUUAGAUUUGUUUGGCCAUGGCAUUGAUCAACUGUCUAGAUCUCCCAAUGUGACUCCCUUCCACCGGGCCACUUUGCGGCCUUCGGGGCCUUAACAUCACUCUGAAGUUCCCACCUUUUGUCUUAACCCUAUUAUAGAAGGCCCUAUGAAGUAAAGGGAAGUGCAUUAAUUCUUGGAAAAAGAGGGAGCGAACCUAUAUAAAAAAUGUAAUAAAGUCAAUUCAAUGAAUAGAUAGAGCCAACGGUACAACAAAAAGCGCUGCCUAAACGCGAUUUCGCUUCCAAUAGGGAUAGGCAAAUUAGACUGAUUUAGUGAAGUAUGCCAUGCCAUCAGUAGCAAAGUAGGCAGUUCUCGAAUCAUCUGUGGCACUUGCUCUUAGCCUUGAUCUUUUUCUUUUUUUUUAAUCUGCCUAUUGUUUCAUCAGAUGUGAUUGGAAUGCUUUCCUUGGUUUCAAAGGCUAAAAAAAGCGAGAUGCUUCCAAAAAAUACAGUUUAAUUUCAUUGUUUUCAUCAAGGUCCGUUGUUGUGACUGGAAGAAUUGAUUCAGAAUCGGAUGCCCUAUCUUCCUUCCCCUUCUUCUGAGUGAGGACAUAUCCUAAUGAAUUAGACGACCUCGGAAGGAACCAUUAGAGGAGAAGGGUGGUCGUAGAUCAGGUGAGGAAGGUUAUUGGCCCAAUAUGAAGGAAGACAUUAAAGAUUAUGUGAGUACCUGUUUUACCUGCCUGCAGGACAAGACUGAGAGAUCUCAUCCUGCAGGUCUACUCGAGCCUCUACCAAUCCUGGAGCGACCGUGGGAAAGUCUUUCUGCAGUUCAUAAAUAAUACCACAAUGAAAUAUGAUCGCUUUAAUAUAUUAUCUACUUAUUGCUCUAUUUCAAAAUAAUACCACGUGCAGUUCAAUAUUUAUGUGAGAACUUUUUUAUUUGUUUACAGAUUCUGCCCGUCGAAUAUUUACUCGCAAGAAGAAAGGUACGCAGUCACUCAUGCGAACUUCCAUGUUUACUAUUAAAAAUAAGAUUGAUCCUAAUCAAAUUAGAUCUUCCCUAAAGGAAGCUUGCAAGCAAGGCCUUUCUGUCACUUUUAAGAGUAGUGAGCGAGCUAAAGCCAAGUAGAAUAGUUGGCGUCAAAAGCGGCCUCGGAGCGCAGUCUUAAGGUUGUAGUUGUUGAACGCGCAACCAGAUAGGAUGAAGAUGGUGGGAUGAAACAGUCUUUAAAAAACCAUUGGUAAGGGAAGGCAAAGAAGUAACUGAGGGAAGGGACCUUUACCAUUUUGCUUCUUCCGCUUUUGGGGAUUCCACUAAUAGAACAGAACCCGAGGGGAAUGAAAGGAGUGACCUUCACUCGGAUUAGGGGUUAACCACCUCCUACGGUGGUUGCCAAAGCUCCGAGUCAACCCGAAAUAGGCCAUGGACUUUGAUCUACCAAAUGAUAAGAAUGCCUCUAAGAUUCAAUCAUAAACCACUUUGCCUCGGUUGUAUGUAAACCCCCCUUCACCCCCAUCCCCUAAAGUGGUAAAGAAGGGUUAGGGUCUAAUUUUCUUUCUAUCUGACAGGACAAAGAAAUAGGGAAGGGAUGGUUCUUUCUUUUAAACUAUUUAUGGGUCUACCUAGGAUACGAUACUGGUUGUCGGGUAAGGCUUUCGAACAGGCAACAGGCUUACAGCAGGAAUGAAUAAGUGAGACCAUACGCGAACGGCUGAGCUCAGUCUUCCCUGUAAGAAAAGUAGCGGUCGUGCUAGAGACGGUCUAUUGUGUUUUUCUUGACUCAUCAUUGAUAUUUUGGAAAAGCAAGAAAGAAGAAAGGGGAGCUUAAAGCGGACCAUUUACCCUGCCCUAAGUGCCUUUCUUUCUUCUGGUUCUGUCUGUAAACAGUGUCUUCAUGAACAGUAGAUUCAUCUUUUAGACUUGCUCCCGUAAGCGAUGCAAGAGUAAGCGCUGGUACAUUAACAGCUCUUGGUCUUAGCUCCCUAAAUGUUGUUGAGGAAGCAUCCAAUCCAUUUCCAAUUCACAUGUGUUAAGCAUAGUGACACCAAUCCCUUUGAAUGAAGGAGAUUUUUAUUGCUGCUAGCUAGGGAUUGGGGUAGGGGAUAAUAUAUAUAAAUGUAUAAAUCCCCAGAUCCAUCAUUCAUUCAUUCCCUCACUCACGUUUUCUCAAGGUAUCAGAGCGGAGUUUGGGGUAAAUCCCUUUCGAUUUCUGCUAAUUCUCUUCUUGUUGCACUAUGCCCAAGCUUGACGAUAGCAGUGGAGCGCUGUCUGCGGCGGUUGUUGCUAAGGAAACACUCAAGGAUCGAGUGACCCAACUUCAUGGCAAGGUCGACCAUUUGGGCGGACAAGUCUAGAUAGGAUUUCUACCCAGAUUCUUUUAGUUAUUAUUUUGUCCAUAAUCACAUCCGUUAUUAUAUAUUUCAUCCUAAGCAUUUCUAUUAUUUUAACUGUCUGGUCCGAUCGUUUAGCGGCUUUUUCUAAAAGACGGGAAUGUAAAUAGAAAACAUCGCCUGGGAAAGCCUCACGGCCUGGUGGUCGGCGUAACAAUAAUGACAUUUGUCGAUAUGCCACCGCCUGUUUACUAUUAUCAUCAUAGAUUAUUAAUGCGUGUAUUCUAUUAUCGCAGAAAUAUUCCCCCACGGCACACCCAGAAUAUGGGGCCAGAAAUUACAGAGGAGCAGGAUCCGAAGCGGUGGCUGCUACAAGAAUGGAAUAUUCCAAAGCAUUUGCUUCUGAAAGAAUUUGAACUAAUUGUGCCAUAGUUGAGCGUUUCUGUCCAAUCGCUACAUAGACACAAUAUAAUGUCUCACUCUCAGAGGUGGCCCUUGAGUUCAUUUGCUUUUGGUUUAAUAUGGUAUCAAUAGCAAUAGCUGUUUUUCCAGUUUGUCGGUCCCUGAUUAUAAGUUCUCAUUGACCACGGCCUAUAGGCACAUUCGAUUCUUCCCCUCAUUCCUUUUUUCUUGGGCUUGGCUACAUACCAAGCGUGGAUCCAUAAAAUUCCACAAUUUUUAGAAAGUCGCUACUGUUGGCCCCAUUUAGAAUGAGAUCACAACAGAUUUGAUAGAGCCCAUCAAUUUGCUCAAUCAAGGAUAUGAAUCCACUGAGGCAUCCCUAUCUCUUUCCUCAGAAACGGAAUCUAGGGCCAAGGGGAAUGUAUUAGAUUGAGUCUUUUCAGCUUCUAUCGACUGCCCUUCUCUAUGUUGACUGGGGAAGCCUCUCAAUGUGCAAUCUUACUUUGCUUAGCUAGCCCUAUCUUUAUUAUUUUGGCUAAUAAGCAUGAGGUUGGCCGCCUAAUAAUCCUAGAUCUUCCCAUUUUCAAGAAGAUCUCGGGCUCGAUCUGGAAGUAACGUCCAUUUUUUGGUAAUGGGUAUACUCGAAAAAAAGUUUUGAAUUCGACCUCCCCGGGGUCAUAGACUCCUUUUUUGUUUAGGAUCCCCUUUCUACAUUCAAUUAUUUAUUGAACCUGGUGUGGAAUCACUAUCAUUACACAUUUAUUGUUGCUUUCCUUGAUUCGGGCACAGUGUCUUCGACAAAUCGUUGUCUCAGUAUCUGUCUCAUCUCUGGUCCUGUGGGUUAGUAACCUUAGUCCAGUCAAAGGUAGGAGAUUAACAGCCGAUCCCCCAUCUAUCAUGAUUCUUGUUAUCCCCAAUCCAUUAAGGUAUCCUGAAAUGAACAAAGGCCUGUUAUGCUUAAUGAGUCCUGGUUGCAAGUAAUCGUCCGUAAACGUGAUCAAAGCCAAACACUCGACAUAAGUUGGUUCACUACUUCUCAUCUUAACUUGGUUAACUUCAUUAGAAACUCCUCUGGGUUCGUUAAUGCGUAUACUAGGGACAUCCUUAGUUCUGCAGACACCUUCAAUGCAUCGUAUAGGCGGAGGAGUGCAGGAAUCUUUUUGAGAUGAGCUAAUAUGUCAUAGCGAACAUGUUGUCCAUUGGCCGCUAAUGUUUGACCAGCAAGCAUUCGUGAUCUCCCACGUUGGGUAACUUCAAACCGCUAAUGUUGGAUUUGCAUAUCUUAGCACUCCACAAAAUAAUAUAUGUGGCACAAUAAGUAGAUAAUACUUGAUCGGUGUUAGCAAGAAGGAGGCUUGGUUGCAAGAGGGAGCUCUUUGACAUCGUUAGUGAAGCUAGUACCCUAAGUUAACAGCAUAAAAUCCUCCUCACGGAAUUUCGAUUGCCCUAAGGCAAGUAAGUGAAAUCCGCGUUGGGGAAGGGGAGGAAAGGCUACUAAGGCAAGUGGGGAAGAAAAUCAAUAUAAAAUAGAAAGAAUAGGUAUUGCCUUUCCUAUGAAGAUAUUUGGUUGAGGUUAGAAUUUGGUCAUUCUCUUGAAUUGACUUUGCGCUUUCACGGGCGGAUCUGUCAACCAUAUGUUAAUCGUGCGUGUUCUAAACUAGAAGCCGAAUGUCGACUGCUACCUACCGGUUUGGCGGAAGAAAUCGACAUGGGGUAGGAAGCCGGGUAGGAGCACCCAAUGACAUCCGUUACAUGACCACUUCAUUUAGUCGUAUCUGCCGGUAAAGAUGGAAUGUUUACAAAUAACAGAUGGUCAGACAGCGGUAACUGCACUGUGUGACCGAAGGUUACUGGCCCAAUAUGAAGGAAGAUGUUGAAGAUUAUGUGAGUACCUGUUUUACCUGCCUGUAGGACAAGACUGAGAGAUCUCAUCCUGCAGGUCUACUCGAGCCUCUACCAAUCCUUGAGCGACCGUGGGAAAGUCUUUCUUUCUUUGGAUUUCAUUGUGGGAUUGCCAAAAGUGGGGGAGUAUUGAAGCAUCUUGGUUGUUGUGGAUAGAUUCUCAAAAUAAAUAUGCUACAUUCAUUCCUGCUCUAGCCACUUGUUCAGCAGGCUCCGAAAAUGCUGUGAGAAAGAGGAUCUGUUUGUUUAGGAUAUAACUUUUGGUUCAUGAAGAAGCGACCCCUCCGCAUCAAGACAGUCAAUCACUACUCCUAGAACCGGGGGAAGACUAAAUGGGCGAAAAGAAGGCAUUCCGGGGGCGAGUGAAUCAGGCUCCGUGCCAGUCAAUCUAGUUGCUGGUUGAUCCCCCUCAGGGCGAGUUGCUAUCGCUGCUUCCUCUUUCGUUCAAGCGGCAUGAAGCUCAUCUUCAUUGACUGACUCGGAAAUGAGCCCGUCACUCGAGAAGACAGACUGACUGGCAUCGUACAAUAUAGAAGGCUAAUCCCGCUUUGUUAGCCGCUCCUUCAUCUGUUAUUAUUGUUAGUCAUCUCCUUCACUACCUCAGCUAUUUUAUUAUAAGAAAAGUCAGUCAGCUCUCUAUCAUUUAUAAAAAUAUCACUCUAGGAUGAACUAAUCAACAACCGAACGAGACUGAAUCCAAGCGAGUGAAUGAACGAGUCAAGGGUUUGUAAAGAGCAAAGGACUAUCAAAAACACUACCCGGAAUAGGAGUCUUGGCUUAUGAGUUUGAGUUUGAGCAGGAAGAGGCAUAAUAGCCAUCAACCGGAAGCAGUGCAAAAAUUGGAGGAGAGAUUGUCUCAGCAAGUGAUUGGGAUUGCCGACGAGAAAAGAGUUGCCUGACCGUGAGGAAGGCCCUGGACGAGUGAUUGGUCAAACAUUAGAAAAUGGAAUACUUCCCCAUAUUUUUUAUUAAACUUCUUCUUACCUUAUUUUUUACCACUAUUAGCACAGCUUCGAAAAUCGUUAUCUUUUAUUCGCCUAUACCUAUAUGUGAUAAAAAAAUAAAAAAAAAAUGGAAAACUCGAUCGAAGGGAAGGCAACAAUUCAGAGACGAAGAUAAGGCUUGCCAUUCAAGCCUUAGCCUUUUCAAAAGCAGGGGAUUCUACAGAAAGGGACAACAUUCAAAGAAAGAAUAUUUACUGUUGGAAAUCCAAUGCUUUCCCGAUUCCAUGCUUAUGAUUCAAUUCUUCUUGGAGAAACCAAGUCAUUAGACAAGACCUGCCUGCGGAUUCGAUUCCUCCCCCGGCUUCGGCUUAAUUCAAAUAGUUCACAUCACUUUGUGGUGUGGUAUGCGGCGGAGUUAGUGUACCCGGGAGUUAAGUUUUACCAAGUAUGCGAUUCUGGGUGACGACAUUGUCAUCACAGAUCGAUUGGUAGCGGUACAAUACCGAAAACUCAUUGAACAACUUGGUCUAUCUAUAUCUUUAAAUAAAACCUUAUUGUUUGAGUCAGGUACCUGUGAGUUCGCUAAGCCUUUUAUUCUUAGCUCGGGGGAGAAAGGCGGGAAUUCCCCCUAGUAAGAGUAGUAGUCUUGGGCAGAGAACAGCCCUUUGUUAUCUCGGCAUCUAUUACUAUUCUUUUUAAGUAAAGAAGGUAAAGGCGUUCUUUCGCUUUCCUGGCGUAUGUUGUCUUUUCGGAGCUAGCAGCGAUGAUAGUCAUUAUAUCAUCCCUUAUUCGUUAUCAAUUAUGGAAUUUGAAGAGGAAAAUCCUACUCACGACAGAGCGGAAGACUUGUAGCGAGUAAGGAGAGAGAGAGGAAGAGAGGGUAGGACGUAGUUCCUGGGAUUGCUUUUGUGUGGGAUGGUCAGAUUACUCUGCAACUCGAUUCUACCCCUGUCUUUGCUUUGGAAAGGUUCUUCAAUGUUAGAUUCCCUUUUUCUUUUUGGAAGAUAUGGUUGCUUCCAAGGCCACCUUCCGCUUGUUAAUAGUAGACUAAUGGGAGAGAGCCGUAGAUGAAAGCCUCUUCCUUAGCGGCGUCCUUCUGCUUCCGCUUCUUAUUCUUAAUCUGUAUAGCUGCUUUGGAGUGACAUUAGGCACGUAAGGAUAUGACUGCCAGUCCAGUUUUGGCCAUUUCUAUGUAUCCAGCCCUGAAGAAAGUCGAUAUGUGGAUGAUUUUCAAUCAAAGAGGGAAGAAAUUUAUCUUAGGCCACGGGAACGAGAUAGAAGAAGAGCUGCUUUAACGGCCCGCUAAGGAAGAAGAAAUUGGCUUUCUUCAUUUUAAGAUAAAGAUUGCAUUUCACUUUCACUUUCUAUAUCCAUUUUGAAUGGGUAAAAAAAAAAGCAAGAGCUUAUCAUCACCAGCAGAAAGAGACAGAGACCUUUUCUCUUUCGAAAAGGGACUGAGAUGCACCCUUCGUGCCUCAUACCCCUGAGGAAGGGAAGUUCGUUACUUGCUUGAAAGGAAGCAGUACUCUCGAGUGGGUACCUCUUGAAAAGGGCAGUCAAAAGGAUAGACUGAAUUCAAAUAAGCCUUCACUUUCAAUCCGUUGAAAUGUAUGGGUUAGGAUGACCAGCUUUCGUACAAGAGUUUACCUAGAAAAAACCUGACUGUGAGACCGACUCGGCAAAGAGAGAGGAAAGUCAACCAAGUGUUCAAUCUAUUAAAUAGACUAUUUUUCUUUCAUUAAAGUUUACAGAUAAGUAAGAUAUUGAAAGGGGCAGAACGCUUUCUAAGCUAGAUUUUCUCCUUACGUCCUUCGGGGUGUGGAGAGGAUAAAUCUCCACAUCUUUUGCGAUUGGAAAGUGUAUUGGAAUCAGAUUGAAAAUCUCAGUAGGGCGACUCCUAAUACGAUUCUACCGGGAUCAGGAGAAUCAAAUCACAUAAAAAGAAGAUGAAAUAGCUGCUUAUUCUCUUCUCUUGCAGGGGCUGUCGUUUCGGGAUUAAUAGAUACCUGCAAGACCCCUAUUCUCUAUUUUAUUAGUCUCUUUAUUUCCAACUCUUUUCCACAUCCUUAAUAAGGCACCGAGCUACGAGGCUCAAACAUUGAACACAACUAGACAGCACUAAUGCCGGUGGUGGUAGGAUAGAAAGUAGACCGAGACGACAGAGCGGAAGACUUGUAGCGAGUAAGGAGAGAGAGAGGAAGAGAGGGUAGGACGGAGCGCAGAUGUACAAUAAAAAUGGUCGUCCCGGUACAGGGGCCGCUAAUACCGGCGGCUGAGUCAGGUAUUCUUUUAUGCUUUUGAAUGCAUCUUGGCAUGCUUGGUCUCAGACAAACGCUCCACCCCUUUUUUCAUUAGACGAGAAAAGGGUUGGAACUUGCCUUAUAUAUUGGCGAUAAACCUGAUUAUAUAGGCCAACCGUCCUUGGAUGGAAGCCUCUCAAUUCCUUGAUAUUGGUAGGAGACGGCAUCCCCAGUAUGU